GUGAGCAAGAAGUAUCGGAUAACGCUUCAACCCUCGGACGCCUGCCCUUCGUUGCUGCCGUCUGUAUCGACUUUGUUUCAGAAAUUCUCGACUUACAAUUCAUAAAGAGGGUCUCAUUGAUCAAAAUUGAGAGAGCAUGAUUAUGUUGUAGUGGUAAUUAUUUUGGCAUGCUUUGAUAAUGGUGGCUGAUCAGUGGAAGAAACGUCUACGUGCUAUCAACAAUACUGACUGUCAUCUGGAACCCCAUGGACUGAAGAAGAAGAAAAAGAAGCAGGGAUUAGCAGGAUACAAUUUGAAGUUAAGAUCCAAUGUUUCUCUGGUUUGGGAUGACAAAAAAAGGUGUGUUCUUGCCAAGAAGGAGCAAAUUGGCAUUUCACAGAGAGAAUUGUCUCCCUUUUUGGAUUCUAUCUCACAUCACCAUAGCAUAUUAGCUGAUGUUUUUACUCUACCUCAUGAAACUUUUGAACUCAAUAAUUUAAGUGAUGUCCUCUCCCACAAGGUUUGGCAGGCAAAC
rnacentral:misc_RNA from 1 species